UAACAACUCUCAGCGACGGAUCUCUUGGCUCUCGCAUCGAUGAAGAACGCAGCGAAAUGCGAUAAGUAAUGUGAAUUGCAGAAUCCAGUGAAUCAUCGAACCUUUGAACGCACCUUGCGCCCCUCGGUAUUCCGAGGAGCAUGCCUGUUUGAGCGUCGCGGA
rnacentral:rRNA from 1 species